UACUACCAUCUUCAACAGUGUCAGAAUAUCCCCAUACUGAUCCACAAACCCCCUCUGAUUAUCACUGGUCACAAGGUUGCUCAACUCUAUCAAUGGUGUCAAAGACUCCCGAUGGAAACUGUAGGAACAAGUCUUCCGCUUCAACUCCGGGACUGUUGCCAUCUCUAUCAGUGAAUAGAACUCCUGAAUGUACCUGAGAAAUGAUAUGCAUGCAGGGAUUAGUU
rnacentral:lncRNA from 1 species